UGGUAGGGAUGAUUAUUGGGCUUAAAGCGUCCGUAGCCAGCUUAGCAAGUUUCCUGUUAAACUCAGCGACCUAAUCGUUGAAUCGCGGGAAAUACUACUAGGCUAGGAGGCGGGAGAGGUCGACGGUACUUCCGGGGUAGGGGUGAAAUCCUAUAAUCCCGGGAGGACCACCAGUGGCGAAG
rnacentral:rRNA from 1 species